rnacentral:lncRNA from 1 species
AUGUCAGCGAUGCAAGCCGAGCGCGGAGCAGGACCAGAGAAUCGCCCAACUUUGAGAGAAAAUGCACUAGUGCAGUCGCAAUGCGGAAGUGCCGUUUCCACAAUGGCUCCUUGUGAAGCGAUCCAACGGAAGACUACACUUCCCACAAGUCUGUGCGACGAGGCGCCAGGAAAACAGGCUGGUGACGUGUGUGUUUCCUGUGUUUCUUCACCUCUGCAGGUGAGGAUGGAUGGGAACGCGAGCAUUUUUUGCACUGGGACAGCCAUAGGGAGUCGGGCUGCUUUUAAAAUCCCGGGUUCACUACCGGAGAUGUUUGAAUAUGCUCAGGAGCUUAAGACAGAAGGAUGCCAAAUCCAAGGAUAACCUGGGCAAAAGGUACAAACUACAAAAAAGGGUUACUGAGCAUCUUAGGGGUAAAGUCCCUGCUUGCCUGGGAUGAAGAAGGCUUUAGUUAUAAAUACACCACUACAAUAGACAAUCUCGUCCUGUAGUUAAAUAAAAUAACCAGUUUGCCACAGCUGGAAAAAAAGUCUUAGUGUGAACAUUGGAAUCCAUACAGUGUAGUGCACAGGUCAAGGUGCACAGAUAUGAUUUAAAAUUAUAGAACAAAAUUAAAAGCCCAGCUCUCUAGAAUUCACUUGUAAAGAACUCAGAGAAUCUAACUGGGAACAUAGAAAUAAUGAAUGAAUGAAUAAAGAUAGAUUGGCACCAUUGGGACCUCCUAUCUCCUCGUAAAUAUCUAGUGCUGUACUGGUCAUGCCAAAGACCAAAGAACAAACCUUUUUAGAAAGAAGAGUCUGGACUCGUGACGGACAGUGGUUCACAAGGAAGCUAAAUCUCAGCUGAGAAGGAAAGUCUUUUUUUUUUUUUUUUUUUUUUAAUAAGAAACUUGUGUCCUGCCGGGCAGUGGUGGCGCAUGCCUUUUAUCCCAGCACUUGGGAGGCAAAGGCAGACAGAUUUCUGAGUUGGAGGCCAGCCUGGUCUACACAGUGAGUUCCAGGACAGCCAGGGCUAUACAGAGAAACCCUGUCUCGAAAAACCAAAAAAAAAAAAAAAAAAAAAAAAAAAAAAAAAAAAAAAAAGAAAGAAAGAAAGAAAGAAAGAAAGAAAGAAAGAAAGAAACUUACUUGUGUCCUUUUUUAUUCUUCCCUGAAAUGUUUAAGAAGGAGUUUUAAUAACUGGUUGGGGAGGGUGGUUGGAGAGAUGGCUCAGCGGUUAAGAGCACUGACUGAUCUUCCAGAGGUCCUGAGGUCAAUUCCAGCAAUCACGUGGUAGCUUACAACUAUCUGUGGAUCCCAAUCCAGUGCCCUCUUCUGGUGUGUCUGAAGACAGCUAUGGUGUACUCAUAUAGAAAAAAAUAAAAAUAACUAUUAGGUGACA